rnacentral:lncRNA from 10 species
ACUGGAUCCCUUCCUUACACCUGAUACGAAAAUUAAUUCAAGAUGGAUUAAAGAUUUAAAUGUUAGACCUGAAACCAUAAAAACCCUACAAGAGAGGGGUGGAGCCAAGAUGGCCGAAUAGGAACAGCUCCAAUCUACAGCUCCCAGCAUCAGCGACGCAGAAAACGGGAACAGGAUUCAUCACUCGGUGUUUGAUGUGAAGUCCCUUCAGCUCUCCAAGCCCCAGUGUCCUCGUGAAUCAAGCGGAGAUCAUCUUAAAGCCCUCAACAGGGACAAGUGUGAAGGAACCAGUAAGAGAAUGCUGAGAUCAGAAGCCUGGAUCCUGCCCAGCCCCAUCCCCGAUGGUCUCAUGCCAACCGUCAGGACCCAACGUUAUCCAGAGACUGGGCUCUAACCACAGCCUGGACUCCUCUAACCCUGGGCCCAGCCACAACCACUCUAGGACUUCUGCUUUGGAAAACAGAAAGCUCAAGCCCCCGAAAAUAAAAGUCCUGGAAAUGUUCCCAGUUAGCAGACACUAGGUCUCCCCUAGUGACACAGAGAGAAGAGAAACAAACAGGCACUAGGAGGGAUUGAGGUGGUCCCUCUGUCCCCCACACACUCCUUCACCCACUGGGCAGCUGCAGCAAUGCUCUCUGUCUUGGUGAUGUCCAUGGUCACCGUCUCCAGCCUGUCUGAAGUCUGGCCCCUCAGCUGCUUGGUCCCCUUCUCUGUCCUACAUGCAGCUCCCGCAAGCCUGUGCAUUCAGUUGUCUGGCCAGUAGCUUCCUGAAGCGUGAGUCACAGCUCAUGAUGAACACGUACUUGUCUCUCAGGUGACUCACCACCUGCCUCUCCCAGUACCAGUGCAGAAGGUAGUAUAGGCCCAGGAGGACCGCCAGGUAGAGCCACAUGGCUUUGCAGAGGACAGACCCAGACGGGCUGGGGUGAAGUGAGAGUCUGGCCUCUGUUCAGACAGGAGGACUUAAGAACACAGAGGGCUGAGGUAGGCAGGGAAGCCCUCAGGCAUUUUGGCAGAAAGUCCUCACUUUCCUCUCUGAUCACUGUCUUUCUGCACCAUUUUUUAUCCUGGCUUCAUCUCUCUGCUCUUUCAACUGCCUUUGCAGGUGUUCAUGCAUGCAACUGCAAACCCCAAGCUCUGCCCAGUGAGUAGUUAUCACUACUCAGCAAUGCUUCCCUAGUCCACCAAUGCCUCUCUGCCUUGCUGUGCCUACUCAGGUGUCCACACAGGGGCCCACACACACACACCAUGAAACACACCACUCUGAUCUACAAACAAGGGUCAGAACUUGUCUCUACAUAUCUUGUGAUAUGGUUUGGAUAUUUGUGCCACCAAAAUUGCAUGUUGAAAUGCGUUCCCCAAUAUUGGAGGCAGGAGCUGGUGGGAGGUGUUGGGUCAUGGUAGUGGAUCCCUCAUGGCUUGGUGCUGUCCUGGAGACACUGGAAUGAGUUGUGAUGGGAUCUGGUUGUUUAAAAGUGUGGCACCUCCCCAGCUCUCUCUUUCUUGCUCCCACUUGCCAUGUGACAAAUCAGCUCCCCCUUUGACUUCUGCAGUGAUUAUAAGCUUCCUGAUGCCUCACCAGGAGCCAAGCAGAUGCAUGCUUGUACAGCCUGCAGAACCAUGAGCCAAUUAAACCUGUUUUCUUUAUAAAUUACCCAGUCUCAGGUAUUUAUUAUAGCAACACAAGAACGGCCUAACACACAUUGUAUACCAACACUCCUGGACCAUGGUCUCCCAGAAAACAGACUUUACUGGGAAGCUACACAUGGUUUCCAGGCACAUUCAGUGGAAAUCCUGCUCUGAGCCUGAGUUUCCUCAUCCCACCCAGCAUCCAGAAUCAAUCACUCCCCAGAAAAGUAGGGCACGAUCAGGCUCUCUAGGAUGAGAAGGAGAAGGCAAAAAAGUGAACAAGAGCAAGUCCCCUCCUGCUACAGUAGUUUUCUGGGGCAGAAAGAUGUGGAACACCCACAGGGAGAGUCCAACCUCACAGGUAAAGAAAGGGGAAAGAAGGGAAUGGAGCCUUGGAACCCACAGGAAGGAAGUACCCAGGGCUGCUGGGAAGGGGAAUGGAAUGACUUAUGCAGGUGUCACAGGGCUCACCUGCUCACCUCCUGAUAUGCCCUGGGUGCUGGCUCCACUGCCCUCUGCCCUCCCCUGUCAGGGCCCACAUCCAGGAUCUGGACCCCUCAGACACUGAGAGGCUAAAAACAUUGCUCAUUUGAACAAGGACAAUGAGGAUGGUGGUC